CACCUCUCCCACCGUCUCCCCCAUCAACGCGAUCAACAUGUUGAGCAGCAGCACAAAGGUUUGUGAGGUCCUGCCCGCCAGCACAGGAUGUUGACUUUUCUUCACUGCAGAACACAGACAACUUUCACUGGAUGUACCUCUUGAAAGUACUCCAACAGGCCCUCGAGGGCCUCUGGAUCACCACGUGACACGCAUUCGAAGAGAAGAGAGCGGUUGAAUACUUUCAUCACCUUUG